rnacentral:rRNA from 1 species
GUAGGGGGCAAGCGUUGUCCGGAUUUACUGGGCGUAAAGAGCGCGUAGGCGGGGAGAGAAGUCCGGUGGGAAAGCCCUCGGCUCAACCGAGGAAGUUCGCUGGAAACUCUCUUUCUUGAGGACGGCAGAGGAAAGUGGAAUUCCUGGUGUAGCGGUGAAAUGCGUAGAUAUCAGGAGGAACACCCGUGGCGAAGGCGGCUUUCUGGGCCGCACCUGACGCUGAGGCGCGAAAGCGUGGGGAGCGAACGGGAUUAGAUACCCCGGUAGUCCACGCCCUAAACGAUGGUCACUAGGUGUGCGCGGUAUCGACCCCGCGCGUGCCGCAGCUAACGCAAUAAGUGACCCGCCUGGGGAGUACGGCCGCAAGGUUGAA